rnacentral:lncRNA from 1 species
AUUUUGUAGGUAUGCUGUGUGGGAAUUGUCAGAACUUUGGAUCAUCACCAAGAUGGUUGAAAUUACUUCCACUGAUCUGAAGAACAAAUCGAAUUCACAUGUGCUAUGUUCAUCAGGAAACUACAAAACUAGCACUUGUGUAGACUUGACAGGUUUUCCUGAAAGUUUUGCUGCCGAGGCUUGCUUAAAGCUGCAUUACAGGACUCAUAAAUAUAAUGAUCAAAUACAUCAUGUGUACCAGUUGAACUUAAAUGAUGUUGAUCUGCAUGUUCAUCCGUCUGUAUUUGGUCAGAUAAAGAAGUUUUUGAGCAAUCUUGAUGCAGUAUCUCCAGGUGGCAGUGCUGUUGUGUCCUCAAUGGACCAGAGUUCCAUGAAACCUAAGGCAGCCAAUGCCAAAUUUCCUAAGCUUUCAUUGGCAGAUAUCUGUGGAGCAGGGAGCACAUCAUUUGGAGGAGUUUCUGUUGAUCACUUUCCCUUUUUACAUGCUGAUAUCAUAUCUAAUUUCGGAUGUUUAGAAACUCGAGAUGUUCAAGCCUUAGAUAUUACACCUUCAAAUGGUUACUCCGCACCAGAGCUUUCAAGCAAUGUACAAUGUAAAACUGAGCAUUCUAACUGUUCAUCUAACUCACUGAAUAACACAAAUAAUGUCAGCACAACCGUUCUGGAUUUAUCACUUGUUUCGGUUAGAACACAUUUCCAUGAAUCAUGUGGUAUUUUAGCAACACUCACUGUUCCCGAGUCUAUAGCAACAUUCUCACUGGUAGAUGCAACUUCAUGGGACCUAUUGUUGUCUGCUAAAGAUAUAUUGCUCGCUUCACCGUGGACAUCACCAAGUGUCAGUGAGGUACUCUGGGGAACUUAUUCACAUGGUAAUUCUAAUGUACUCAACGUCCGUGUCAAAAAGGACUUGUCUGCCCUCUCAACUGAAGUAUGUAUUGCAACCCAAAAUGUUUGUUGUGUAUUACCAACAAAACUGCUGGCAAUGAUUAUUGGAUAUUUUUUAUUGGAUGAUUGGGAUCCUAUGGUGGAAGAGCAUCACUCUGUGGCAAGUAACAAUCUUGAGUGUUCCGGAGAAUUGCAUGACAGUAUCACCUACACAAUUGAGAUAUGUGAUUGUGUUAUACUUUUUCCUAUUGAAAAUCAAGAACUUUUUUGUAUAAAACUUGGUGUUCCAUAUUUUUUCUGCGAGUUCAUUCCAACUGGGAUUUCAGCAGAAUUUGUCAAGCAUAUUCCCAAAGAAUUCUUCAGUUCAGAAUGUACUCUUUCCAGUAGAGUUGAUGUCAUCAGCCUAUGUUCAAGAGAUGCAUCCAUAUCACUUGUAUUCCUGAAUGAGAAAACAAAAUUUAUCCCGAAGCUUGAUGAGGACAUGCCUGCAAGAAUACACCCUCUUGUGGAGAAGCUUGAUGCCGGCAUAUGGAUUCAAGUUCCUUGCAAAACACUAUCCUGCUCCGAGCAGCCUUUGUUGGCCACUUUCAUUAUGAGCAAAAUAUCAAAAUGCAAUUUGAUUUCUGAAGGUAUAUAUUUGGAUUGAUACCAUCUUCUUUUAAACAUUUCUUGAUAUGUAUUGGUUAUGUAAUAAUACCAUACUCUGUCUUAUCUUGUACAGAUUUGUAUUUUAUGGACGGGAUGGAGACAGUUUUUCGUAUUACUGACGAGUUAACUUCAAUUGUCAAAGAAAGUAAAAUGUACGAAGGCAAUGCCCGUCAGUUUUUAGAACGUAGAAGAUCCAAUGAGGAGAGCGUUGAAUCUAAUGAGCCUAUUAAUAUUACUAUUUCUAUCAAGGAUCUGGUGGUUCUCUUUGGUCACUCAAAAGAUAAAGAAUUGCCAUUGGAGAAGGUUGCCACUGCAAACCUUGAGUUUGAUGUUUCUGCUGUAAUGGUUAAUGAAAAACCUGAGCAUGUUGACAUGGAUAUUGUCUCUUUAGCUCUACACUCAUCUGGUGGCCACACUCUUGUCUCCAUAGUUUCUGAUGGGCCAUCAUCUCCUAUUCUAAUCAAGUUCACAAAGCAUCAUGCUGGGCGAGAUGAGAUAUUAAUUACUGUACCCUUUUUCGAGAUCUGGUUAUAUUUAGUUGAUUGGGAUAUCAUUAUCAACCAUUUUCAUUCCUGCAUAGGAAAGGAAGACAACAGUUUGCAUGCGGGGCAUCCAGCAGCUUCACCUCAUUUUUCAGGCUCUGCAAUGUCAUCAUUUCUUGAAUCAGAAUCACAAGACAAUUCUUACUUGGUGGUAACAUGUGAAAGUAUUGCUGUUGUUGUUCAUGUACCUAUCUGGGAGAAAGAGCAAAAUGAGAAUAGCAAUUAUCCAAGGGUUGACGGGAAUUCUGGUUCUUAUUUGAUCCACCAUGCAGAUGAUACUCAAUCCAAUGAACGAAGAGGUUGCAAAUUUGUCACCUUAACUUUUGAGAGUAAACAUUUUGUGGUCAUGUUAGGUGAAAGCUGGGUGAAGUUCAAAUGUGAUUUAGAUAGAGUAAAAGUAAUACUGGAGAUGAUCCAAGUGAGCAAGGGUGCCUCUGUUCCGUUCAUGCAUAUAUCUAAGAUUAAAGCUGGUGGCUAUAUUCAUCAAUCAGAAACUGACAUGCUACAUCUUUCUGUUGAUCUACAAGCAGAAUACAUGGAUAUUAGUUUUUCACACCAGAUAUUUAGUUUCUGGCGUAGUAUAGAACUCAGAUUUCCUAAAUCGUCGUCAUCAGCUUCCUCAUUUUGUUCUGUGACAUUGAAGGCGGGAUUAAGAAAAGGUUCUCUCCUGCUAAAUGAUGGAAGGGUAAGUUAUGCUACAUUGCUAGUUGUUAAUUUGCUGUAAUGAAAUGCCAUAAAAGCUUAGAUGUGUAACAAAUAUCCUUAGACCGGCUAUUUGUUGAAUGUUUUAUUCGGGUUUGUGAGGUGGAGUAUCACUGGAAAAUACUCGCAGUAUCAUGCGACUUAGCCAUUUUCUUGGCCAUUUGGUAGAUAAAGCAACAACAACAAAGCCUUUAGUCCCAAACAAGUUGGGGUAGGCUAGAGGUGAAACCCAUAAGAUCUCGCGACCAACUCAUGGUUCUGGCACAUGGAUAGCAAGCUUCCAUGCACCCCUGCCCAUAGCUAGUUCUUUGGUGAUACUCCAAUCCUUCAGAUCUCUCUUUACGGACUCCUCCCAUGUCAAAUUCGGUCUACCCCGACCUCUCUUGACAUUAUCCGCAUGCUUUAGCCGUCCGCUAUGCACUGGAGCUUCUGGAGGCCUGCGCUGAAUAUGCCCAAACCCCAAACCAUCUCAGACGAUGUUGGACAAGCUUCUCUUCAAUUGGUGCUACCUCAACUCUCUCGUAUAUCAUCAUUCCGGACUAGAUCCUCGUGUGGCCACACAUCCAUCUCAACAUGCGCAUCUCCGCCACACCUAACUGUUGAACAUGUCGCCUUUUAGUUGGCCAACACUCAGCGCCAUACAACAUUGCGGGUCGAACUGCCGUCCUGCAGAACUUGCCUUUUAGCUUUUGUGGCACUCUCUUGUCAUAGAGAAUGCCAGAAGCUUGGCGCCACUUCAUCCAUCCGGCUUUGAUGCGAUGGUUCACAUCUUCAUCAAUACCCCCAUCCUUCUGCAACAUUGACCCCAAAUAUCGAAAGGUGUCCUUCUGAGGCACCACCUGCCCAUCAAGGCUAACCUCCUCCUCCUCGCGCCUAGUAGUACUGAAACUGCACCUCAUGUACUCGGUUUUAGUUCUACUAAGCCUAAAACCUUUCGAUUCCAAGGUUUGUCUCCAUAACUCUAACUUCCUAUUGACCCCCAUCCGACUAUCGUGAACUAGCACCACAUCAUCCGCAAAGAGCAUACACCAUGGGAUAUCUCCUUGUAUAUCCCUUUUGACCUCAUCCAUCACCAAGGCAAAAAGAUAAGGGCCCAAAGCUGACCCUGAUGCAGUCCCAUCUUAAUCGGGAAGUCAUCAGUGUCGACAUCACUUGUUCGAACACUUGUCACAACAUUAUCGUACAUGUCCUUGAUGAGGGUAAUGUACUUUGCUGGGACUUUGUGUUUCUCCAAGGCCCACCACAUGACAUUCCGCGGUAUCUUAUAAUAGGCUUUCUCCAAAUCGAUGAACACCAUAUGCAAGUCCUUCUUUUGCUCCCUGUAUCUCUCCAUAAGUUGUCGUACCAAGAAAAUGGCUUCCAUGGUUGACCUCCCAGGCAUGAAACCAAACUGAUUUUUGGUCACGCUUGUCGUUCUUCUUAAGCGGUGCUCAAUGACUCUCCCAUAGCUUCAUUGUAUGGCUCAUAAAAAAUAAUUUGAAUAUAUUGCUGUUAAGAAGGGAGCACUAUGAAGUAUUGAAGCGAGCUGAAUAAUGUAUGUAAAAAAUGUCACAGAAUGAAACAUUAGCUGGUGCCUUCCAAAGACAGUUCCGUACCUUCAGCAGUAAUGGAUCAUUAGCUUUGUUUGGUCAACCUUGCAACUGAAUCUGUAAGAUGACUUUGAAGUCUACUUUGCCCCUAAUAAAAAAAUUGUCUAUUUUUUAAUUGAUCAGACAACUUUUUUUAUGCCUAUGUGUCUUUUUGUGUACUCAAAUACGCUGAUUGGCAUAUCCUCUUUGUAAGCUUCAACAUUUAGCUCAUUCUGGUUUUCGGUAAUGCUUUCUUGACAGUGGAGCAGUCAUGGGCCUGUUAUAGAGACGUUGGUGAAGAACUUGUCACUGCAAUUUAGUCAAAUGGGUGUUGAGACUGAAGUUUCUGCUUUUGUUGACUUUCUGAUAAACUACAACAACAUCGACAAGGUAAAGCUAUGCUUCCUUGCUGUCUGAUGUAUCAUGUUUUUCAUGGUAUAAAGGAAUAACAAUUUAUAUAUGUGUAGGUUAUGUGGGAACCUUUUAUAGAGCCCUCAAGUUUUCAGUUAAACAUACUUCGAAAAUGUGCUGAUCAUGCACUGGAUGUAUCUCCCAUUACUGAGGUGUCGCUAAAUUCAAGCAAGCAGCUUAAUGUUAAUAUAUCAGAGCCCUUGAUCGAGGUACAUGAUCUUGGCAUACUGUAUUUUCAAACUUGUCAAGAGGCAAAUAUUGUUGUGUCCUAUCUUCAAGUGAUUAACAUUAUAGUUUUUUACUGCCAUUAUCAUCUUGAUUAACCUGAUUCAGGAAUCAGGGCAGUGAGUCUGCAGAUAGAAUGUAGCUAUAUAUCUGUUCUCAAGGAGCAUUGACACUUAUUUAGCUUAGUAGUUCUUUUUUCUUAAAUUAACUCAGCAGUGUGUGAUAUCUGUAUGUGCUUUUGAGUCCCAGUUCUCAAGUAUGUUGCUCUGAUUUCAUCAUUUGCAUAUGUAGGCUAUCUUCAGACUUAGUGAGAUGAUCACAGAUUCUCUUAAUCCAAGUAGUGGAGGUGAUCUUCGAGAAGAUCCUGGGAUCGUGAGGUUAAGCCGUGAUGAUGUGCACACCAGGAGAUACGCACCAUAUAUUCUCUCAAAUGACACAUCACUGCCAUUUAGUUUCAAGGUGUAUCGUGGUGCUGUUAAUUCAGAUGACAUUGAUAGUUUCUCUAUAGUAGAUGAGAAUUCUGUGCCGGCAGGAUAUUCUGUCCCGAUAUUUGUUGAAGAAACUCUAGAUGAAUUCUUCUUCCAGCACAGGGAAGCACGAUCAUCUGAACACCUCAUCGAGAAAUGGAUGAGUGCAGUCUCACACUAUAUGAUUUCCAUUGAAUUUGAUGGGACUUCCGGGUCCUCUAAGCCAAUGUCAAUUGACCUUGUGGGCAUUUACUUCUUUGAAGUCAACUUCUCUUCAAGUAAGAAGCCAAUUCUUGGCGAGGAAAGCUUGGAAGCAUUUGGAUCUGGUAGAAAGGGUAGCCAUCAUGAUGGAUUAAUUGUGCCUGUUGUACUCGAUGUUUCCUUGCAGAAUUAUAGCAAACUUGUACGAGUUUACUCAACGGUAAUAACCUUUUGAAUGAUCAGUUGCAUCAUUAUCCGCAUACACGGGCUUAUGAUCUCUUUUUAUAGGUCAUACUCUUCAAUGCAACAUCAAUGCCCCUUGAGUUGCGGUUUGAUAUACCAUUUGGUGUUUCUUCAAAGGUAUAUAUAUAUAUUCUUCCUAAUUUUAUCUUGCAACUGUUUAGAGAAAAUGUUGAUAAAGGUACUAUCAAAGUACGAGAAUAGAUUAAUGUUGGCCUCAUUGUGCCUUUAUUGUUCAUUCAUGUUCUAGAUUAAAGAAAAUGCGAAAAAUAACUAUUGGAAAUUGGGGAAAAGCAGGUGGUUGGUGGCUGAAUUUCAAACUUUGAAGUCACAUUUGGAUUCAAAAUGUUUAUUUAUAUAUGAAAUAAAAGUUGACCAUGCCAAAGGACAAUCCUACCAUGAACUCUGAUAGAUUGCCUGCUACCAGUAGCUUUAAACUCAUAAUUCUAUUCUUGCACAAUGCAGAGAGUAAUUGCACGGUUUGUGCCCUGUUCAAAUCUGUGCAUUUUACUCUUCUAAACAUCUUCUUGUAUACUUCAUUUGCUACCUAAUAUCAACUUCUCAGCUACUCACUGUAGAGCACUCUUGGUUAAUUGAUGAUUCACAAGGAGCAAACAUGAGAUUUCUCAAGAAACUUUAUCCUGCAGGUAAUCGGGCCAAUUCUUCCAAACAAAGAGAUUCCCCUGCCGGUUCAUUUGUCUGAGGCUGGCCAGAUUAGGUGGCAUCCUGUUGGCAGAACUUAUUUGUGGAGUGAAACCCACUCCUUAUCAAGUUUGCUUUCACGUGAAAGCAGGGUGGGUUUUAUGAAAUCAUCUGUGUGCUAUCCUUCUCACCCUAGUAAUGAUCCAUUUCGCUGCUGUGUAUCUGUUGAAGAGUACACUGUCCCUUCAUCUAGUAGUGCCCAGAAAGGUCAGUACUGCACUGACCAUUUGAAUGCACAACCAAUUCUUGGAAAUACUGCUCCAAGGGCUUCUAAGCAGGUUUUAACAAGAACACAUUUCAUCCGGCAAGUCCGACUUAGUACACCUCUUCUCAUAAAGAACAAUCUCCCUGUGUGUGUAUCUUUGACAAUAGAUAAUGGUGGGGUUGCACAUCAGGUUUCACUUAAGGAGGUAAGUUUCUGAUGCCAUACAUAUAUAUUACCUUGACUAUUAUUUCGCUAAUUCGUUACUGAAUGAUAUUCACAGGUGGGUACCGCCUCUAUUUAUUUUGUUGACCCCUCCAACGAUCUUGGAAUCACAUUUCAUAUUCAAGAUUACAGAUCCGUGACCAUAAAGUUUCCCCGUGUGGAAUCCUUCUCUAAUGGAGCCACAUCAAAUGGCUUGAAAUUCUCCUUAACAGAGACGAUCGCGUUCUACUCAAAUGUGUCGAAAUGUAUGUUGUUCAGCCUUUCUCUUUACUCUGAAUAAGUUGAUAGUGCAUAGCUAAAAUUUCGGUGGCGGUUUCUUUGGCAGGUCCUUUCAAUGUUAUGCUGGAGAAAGCAACAGAUGCUCAUUCUGGUGCAAGAGAGCUGUGCCUUUCCGUGCCAUUUCUUUUGUACAAUUGCACAGAUCUCUUGCUUACAGUCACAGAAAUCAGCUAUGAGAGGAGCGGGUCCACCCUUUUGAUCCCGUGCAGUUUUGAGUUAGAUGGGCACACAAGACAUGUGCUUGGGAAAAAUGGCCUUUCUCUUGUUUCAGAAGACCCAUCCAUACAGUCAGUGACUAUGGUCCUUAAAGCAUUCAUAUGCGUGUGUUAAAAACUAACUUUGUUUUUCGGCUUUGUGUUUGGAAUAACUUGUGCAUUUCUUUUACCAGGCACUUUGCAAGUAAAAUGCCACAGUUGGAUUUUAUUGAUGGACGCAGCUCUCAUUCAAACAGAAGAGUUGCAAAUAACAGUGAGCAUGUGCAGAAAGAAUGUGACGGAGAGGCUAAAGCUUAUAUGUUUGCUCCUGCUGGACAUACACCUCCAACUGAACUUUCAGUUAAGCUGAAUGCAUCUGUACCUAAUAGUGGAACUGAAACAACUCGACGAGAUUGGUCGAGUCCAUUUCUCCUUGUCCCUUCCAGUGGUUCAACGAGUCUCACUAUUCCACAAUCAUCUACUUCUAGUGCCUUCUUAAUAGCCGUAACAUCUGUACCUGUUUCGACAGAACUUUUUGGGAGGACAAAGGCUAUUGCUUUCCAGCCGAGGUAAUUCAUCAACUGCUUGUAAUGGCAACGAGAUUGUUUCAGUGCUCAUCGUUAUCUAUCAACUUACAAUGUGUUGGAGUCGGUUCCACUCUCUAGAAGAAAAGCAAAACAAAAAAACACCAUGAUCAUUUACUGAUAACAAAUGAAACUUAGCACACUGGAGUUCUGCAGUAGCCUUGGCUGGUUCAUUCCUUUUACAUGAUUUACUUUGUCAUUGUCUGUAGUCCUGAAAUGCUAUAAAUUUCAGACAUAAUUUUCCUGAGGAUUCCACUGCCUUAAGGCUGUAGCAGCCAUCAAAACUAAUUUUCAGUUUAUUUCUUUUUUUUCUGACAUGUAACUUUUUCAUUCUCUGGUGGCCUGGCUAAUUUUUUAUUCUACCUCUUUUCCCCUGUUUUUCCAGAUAUGUAAUUUGUAAUGCAUGCAGCAAUGAUAUGUUCUAUAAACAAAAGGGAACAAGAUUUUCUAAGCAUUUGAGCUCGGGACAACACUCUUUUCUUCACUGGGCUGAUACAGCCAGGUGAGUUAUUAUCCUUUGUAUCUGGAGCUUAGCCAUACAAUUUCUGUUCUUAACUAGCUUGCUUAGUUUGAUUUUUAAGAAAUUAUCAGUUCAUAUGUAUGAGCCAACAAUUCAUGCAUGUAAAUUUAGAAAUUUGGAUUUAGAAUAUUAAACUGAAUUCAAUUCUCAAUUUUAUCAGCAUGGUAUGGUUAUAUGUGCUCUCCAUAGACCCUUUUCAAGUAUUUACAGUUUGUUCUGAGGAUACUCUGUUUGCAGAGAGUUGCUUGUCUCGAUUCGAUUUGAUGGGCCAGGAUGGCAAUGGUCUGGUAGCUUUUUCCCUGACCGCCUGGGAGAUGCCCAAGUGAAAAUGAGGAAUAGUGCCUCAGGUGUAUCAAAUAUGGUUCGAGUGGAAGUACAAAAUGCUGAUAUAGACAUGCAUAGCAAAAAAAUUGCUGGAAGAAACAAUAGUACUACCGGUACAAUACUGAUUCUGCUGUCUGAUGAUAAGACUGGUUUUGUACCUUACAGGAUUGACAACUUUUCGCUCGAGGUAAAUAGCUCUUGCUAUGUAGCUUUCUUGAAACUCUGGUUCUCAAGUUUACGAUUGUUUUUUUUAAUUCAGAAACUGCGGAUAUAUCAGCAGAGAUGUGAAUCUAUUGAAACAAUUGUAUAUCCUUACACAUCAUGUCAAUAUGCCUGGGAUGAACCUUGCUAUCCUCACCGUCUUAUUGUUGAGGUACUUUAUUGAGCUUCUUUCUUCAGUUAUUUUUAAACAACUUAUACUUUCAGUUUAAUCUCCCAAGCAAGUAUACAACAUGGUUUCUCUCCCUUACAGGUUCCUGGGGAACGGAGUUUGGGUACAUACAGUCUGGAUGUUCUCAGUGAUGAUGUUCAUGUGGCCCUACCUUCCACACCUGAGGUAGUUCAAUGUCUUGUAGCUGCUGCUAACUGAAUAGAUCAUGGGCUAACUUGGCAUUUUUGUUAUUAACAUGAUAAUAUUGACUGGAGUUGCUAAACUUAAGAGGCUUUAUCAAAUAAUAAUCAGUUAAUAACAGGUCCUUUUACUUAAGCACCGUUUAUGCCUGCGAAUGUUGUGUGUGGAGAAGCUUUGUAACAAUAGGAAUUGUGUUCCCCGAUUUCACAUGGUUCUAUUUAUUACGGCCAGGGAAAAUUACUACUUAAUCACAUGAAAGAAAGAGAAAAGGCUGGUUUUAUGCUUGGUUUGAUUUAUGACAAUCUUAGUCGGUUCUGCUUAUUAAUAUUGUUGAUAUUUUUCAGUUGCUUUCUGACCUGGUUCUGUUUAAUAUGUUUUUGCCAGAAAGCCGAAAGAAAAUUUGGCAUCUCGGUGCAUGCGGAGGGAGCAAUAAAGGUUAUUUUCCAAGGACCAGUAGCCAUCAAGAUUUGAUCAAAUAUAUUUCUCUUGUUAGUUUUUCAUUGUGAUAAUAAACUGCAGGUGCUCAGUAUUAUUGAUUCAAAUUGUCACAACAUGGACACAAAAGAAGCAGGUGUCCUUGGAUCAAGGGAACCAAAGGAUGCUGAUCACAAACAGGAGAUCGAGUUGAACUUCACUGAAGUUAUCAAAAUACACUUACCAUUCAUGGGCAUAUCUUUGAUAAGCUCUUCUCCUCAGGUGAACAGAGUGCUACGGUUGACCAAGAAAUUUUCAGCACUGCAUAUAUUUUAAUAUACUUCGCCUUUUUUUUGCCAGGAAUUGUUGUUUGCUUCUGCCAAGGAUAUGACGUUUGUUGCCAUGCAGAGCUUAGAUCAGCAGAGGAUUACGGUUGAAAUACCAAGUAUGCAAAUUGAUAAUCAAUUCUCUGACAGCCCAUACCCUGUCAUGCUGUCAUUUGAGGGAAGUCACAAGGGAAAAUCGAUUAAUUUUUUGAAGAGUAAAGAUACCAAGCUGAAAUCUCUAAAUGAGAGUAGAAGUUCUAAUACCCCAGAACCUGUGCUGCGGUUCGCUGCAGUAAAAUGGAGAACUAAAGAUACAUCAUUUCUUUCGUAUCAACGUAUAAACAUCAGGUAUUAUUUAUGCUAUCAGUUUAAGUUAUUUCAGAUGUUUAUAUCUGAACUUGUGGUAAUUUUCUUCAUUUGGUGGUUCACAGUGUAGCACCUUUCUGCCUUGAACUUGAAGAACGACUUGUCCUGAGCAUGAUUGACUUUUUUAGAUCCGUUUCCUCUAGAGUGCAUUUUGGUCUGUUGGAGAAAAGUGUAGACUCAAGUAUUUUAUGUGGUGCUACUGAUAUUUUUGGUGAAUAUGCAAAAAUUUCAAAAAACCUGUCAGACAAGCCCCAAAGCUCCUACACAGUGGACACUGAUCAAGACAAUGGACUGCUGCCGUCUGUUAUCCCGAUUGGUGCACCAUGGCAACAGAUACACCUAUUAGCCAGGAAACAGAAAAAAGUAUAUAUUGAAUUGUUUGAGUUGACUCCUGUCAAGUUAACUUUCAGGUUAUUUCUUCUCUGUGUUUAUGUUUCCGGACACCACUGUGAAAAACCAUUAUCAAUUUACCAGUGACUGUCUUUUGCUGUAGUUUUACUAGCACUCCAUGGCUCAAUAGGAAUGAAGGUGUCUCAGACCCCAGCACAAGCUUCAACAACAGUACUGCAAUUCAGGUGGAACAAUAUACUCCAUGCCACUUCCGGAGAUAUUAUGCAAAACAAAAUGUUUUUUGUUUCUAUGGUAUUACUUGGCCGUGCUUCUUAAAGGAUAGUUAUAUACUCAUACAUUUCUACAGGCCCUACAAAUGUUAAUUACUUCAUUCUGUACUACAACUAAAUUUCUUUAUAAGAGGAUUUCACAUCAGAGCAUUGUGCGUGCUUCUGUUAUCUACAUAAGUUCUUUCUUCCUUUCUUUUUGGAGGAACUACACGUGUUUAUUUUAUAUAUACUGCGAUAGUAGCAGCGAUCUUUCUAUGAAAGCUGGAUCCAUUGAGUUCUCUUUUCUCAGUGUGCUGCUGACUGAUACAGUUUACAAAGAUGCUAUAUUAUCUGUGGCUCUGUCUUGAGUUGGACAAUGCUAUACGAGUGCAAAGUAAUAUAUUUGCUUGUCCUGAAUCCUUAUCUAGUGUAGAUAGUGUUGACCUGGUAGCACAUAUGCACAUGGAUUGUUCAGCACUUGAUCUGUUUGUAGGCUCUGAAGUUAUUUACUAGGGUAUUUCCUUGUAUGCCGUCUUAAUUAAGCAUUUUGGUUGCAGAGAGGCCUUAUGGCUCUCAUUGACGUUGAAGGAGUACCAGUUCAUCUAGGAGAAAUAAUGGUAGAAAAUCUUAUGGCAAGUUGGCAAUCCAUCCAGGACAUUCUUGUGAGGCACUAUAGCAGGCAGUUGCUUCAUGAACUCUAUAAGGUAAAUUGGCACCAUUCAAGCUAGUAUUCUUUCUAGUCAAGUACUCCCUCCAUCCCAAAUUACUUGUAGCCCAAAUGGAUGUAUCUAGACGUAUUUUUAGUUCUAGAUACAUCCAUUUAUGUGACAAGUAAUUCGGGGCGGAGGGAGUAUAUCUUUUUUGGGGGGGCAUCUUCUUUAAUGUCCAAAAUAACCUUAAUAAGCUUAUUGAACAAUCCUGGAACCAAAACUACAUGGAUAUUUGUUGCUCUCCUAAGAUCUUCUGCAGUGUGAGUGGCUGCAACCAUGUGCUUGUGCCAACAUUUACCUCCAUCUCUUUUCUUUUUCCUGUUAAGAAGCGGGCCGUAUUGUAUUCUAUAGGACUACCUUGGUUUAUAUAAUCUGUAUUUCCAAUGUCCAACAGUAUUACAUAAUUACUACAUGUGUCUUGGGAGCAGAAUUUGUUGUGAUAUACUGUAAGUGCAGGUUUUUGGCUCUGCUGGCGUUAUAGGGAAUCCUAUGGGUUUUGCCAGGAAUGUUGGAUUUGGCUUAAAAGACUUUAUGUCUGCCUCAAGGAAAGGGAAAUUGCAGGUUUGUAAAUGCAGUUUUCUUGAGGAACUAGCAAUUCUUUAAUCCUUUUCUUAAAGUUCUAUUGAUUUACUCUUUGACAGAGUCCUGUUGAGCUAUUAAACGGUAUCGCACAAGGUUCAAAAAAUCUUAUUGGCAGUACGGUUUAUGCAGUCAGUAGCGCCACUUCUCACUUUAGUAAAACUGCCUAUAAGGUAUUAUCUGAGCUCCAGUUUGAUCAUUGGAAAUUACGCUCUCCAGAAGUCAUGGGCUCUCAUAGCUCAUGGAAAUUUGUUAUGCAGGGCCUUGUUGCGUUUACAUAUGAUGAGCAAACCGCUUCCAAACUGGAUGAACGGGACAGACAGCUAGGUUUGCAUGGGGAAGGAGUACUGAAUGGGUUUCUAGAGGUGAAAGCCAUCUCUCUUGAUCAAGUAUUACUGAUUUACCUUUAUAGCUGGUGUCUGUUCUCGUGUAACACCCAAAUCCUAGAUGACUCUUUGAAUUGGAACCUGAUGACCUUUUCUUGCUCCAUAGUUGUGAUAGUUGUACACAAUUUAGUAACUGCGUCCUUCCAGUACCAUACUAUUGGAAAGAAAAUCUGUCACAGCUCACAGCUAUUAUUUACACAUUCAUUCUUCAGUAUGCUCAAUAGAAUAUUGCCGGACCUGUCUCUAAAGCAGCAUACAUUGUGUGCAUUUCAAUCUUGUUCUGUAGGGUCUGACUGGGCUCCUCCAAUCACCAAUCAGAGGUGCUGAGAAACAUGGUCUUCCUGGGGUUAUCUCAGGUAAUGCCACUCGAUAGGCCCUUGCAGACAAUUUUUGUUGUUCCAGACAUUGACCAACUGUGUAUCUAUUUUACAGGUAUAGCAAUGGGAACAGCUGGGCUUGUGGCUAGGCCUAUGGCCAGUAUUCUUGAAGCCACAGGCAGAACUGCACAGAGCAUAAGAAACCGAAGCAAUCCUCAUGAAUCCAACCGCCUGCGUGUCCGUUUCUCGAGGCCUGUGGCCAGAGAUCGCCCUUUGUUCCCAUACUCCUGGGAAGAAGCAGUUGGAGUAUCUUUGCUUCUCCAAGCUGAUUGUGGCAGGCUGAAGGACGAAACAUUUGUCGUGUGCAAGAUACUCCGGGAGCCCGCAAAGUUCCUUGUGCUUAGUGAGAAACUGCUGCUGCUAGUCUCAAGCCGGUAUUUGGUGGAUUUGGGGUCACCCCAGUUUGCUGGUGUUCCUCCUGACCCACAGUGGGCGAUUGAAACUGAGAUGAACCUGAAAUCUAUUGUUCAUCUGGACAGAGCUCAGGAGGUAGUGAACAUUGUUGGGAGCAACGGCGAAACAUCGCCAAGGGACAAAAGAGGCAGAUCAAGAGACAUUGCCCUGAGCUCAGCCUUCAUCCCACUAUUUCAUUUCAGUGUCGAGCUGCCAAGCAUCGAAGAUGCAGAGGGCACGUUGCAGUUCUUAAUGGCACUUAUUGAGAAGGGAAAGGCAAGGAGAUGGGACAAGAACAUCCUUCACCGAAGCAACAUUUGCUGAGGUUUCUGGGUCUUGAUCCUUACUACAGUGUUUGUGAAUGAGAGUACUCCGCAUACACCUCAGACGACACCAGCCAGGAUCACUGCGCAGCGUCCAGUGAACGUGGAUGACCUUCGGAACAACCGCGCUAUACAAGAGGCGUGUUAAGCAAGUGCCGUCAUCCGUAAGCAUCUGUUGAUACCAUUAGUAGAUCAGGAUAGAUACUGAUAUACGAGGGGCUGGCGUAGCUGGCAUAAUUUUGUAGCCUUUUUCCUGGAUGAUCCACCACGGAACAGGUAGGAUUAAGGUUUCAGCCUUUUUGUAGGCCAAAUGUACACAUGUAGGGUUUUCCAGAAUUUUGUCCACCGCUUUGUAAAUGAUGGCAUUUGAGUCGCAAAAGUUUUGUUAUCCACUAUCAUUCUUCACUGUGCCCAUUUGUGUAUCACAAACGAAAGUUAACAUACUUUUAGUCAAACAAAAAUUGUUCAAACUACCACGCAAGACAAGCCAGCCAGACAUCUUCCGAACUACUCCCUCCGUUUCAAAAUAGAUGACUCAAUUUUAUACUAAUUUUAAUAAAAAGUUGGGUCAUCUAUUUUGAAACGGAGGAAGUACAAACCUUGAAUAUUCCAUUCUUAAAAGAUUGAAUCCGGUGCGACUUCCUCUCAUUUCUUUCCUUACCCAUCCAGAAUUCACCGACGAGCUGGUGUGUUCAUUUGUUACUAAAAAAAAAGUUGGUGGAUUCAUCUCCCCGUUGCCUGCCGCUCCGGCAGCCGGUGGCAGGAAGGGAAACACUGAUGCCUUCGCUCCGAUUAGUAGUAUAGGUUAGAGUUUUUGUCCUCGCAGGUACGGCGCUCGGGAUGGAAGCACUUCUUUGAAUGCCUUUGACGGGUCAAGCAGGCCUCGGCAGGGAGACGACGACAAUGGUGCGUCGUUGGCUCGUUUCUUAUGGUCGUUCGGUGGUCUUGAAAUCUUUAUGUGGUAAUUUUCAUUGCGUUUGAGAUACUUUGUUCUUCCAGUUAACUUUUAUAAUAGAUUUUUCGAGAAAAACAAAAAAAAAGUGAACUCUUUCAUUGAAGGUUUUUUAUUUAUUUUUAGACCACCUGAGUGAGCCAAGAAAGAGCGAUGGAUGUACAUAACAGAAAAAGAAAAGCUGAAUGAACUAGCAAGAUGUUCAUGCAUUGCACGGAAUAUUAAAAUGCAUUUUUUACAAAAUACCUUUUCUAAUUGACCCAUGCAGGAGUAAUCUCACGUGUAAAAACUAAUAAUAUCUCAAAAAUUUCAUAAAAACAUGAUAUCUCGAGAAAGAUAAGUGAGGCGUGGUGGUGACUGAUGGUCGGCGGAGGCAUGAGGAUGGGACGGCGCCGGCACCAUGCCAGAUUAUUCCAGAGACUUCCUUUUUUAGUUGUCUGUAAAUGUCUUUUUUAGUUGUCUGUAAAUGUGAAGAGAGUCGCGGGUUUUUUUGUAGUUUGCUUUUUAUUCAUAGAUAUAGAUCGAUCUAUAUUACAAGAUGGCAAAAACAUCAUCACAAACUCGGUUUUUUAUAACAAGCAGAAUCUACAUAAUCAAAACUUGUCUGUCAUGGCGCAAGUCUGGAUUUUCAUGGAUUUUAGAAUUAGUUACAGAAUUGAAGUAAAAUCAGCAUAUGAAAUUUCAAGGUAAGCCGAUCUACUCAUGUUGAGAUUCAAAGACCUCCUUUGGUUUAGAGGAAUCUUAUUAUAGAUUUCUAUAAAGGAAUUCUUCCUAUCUUUCACAUUUCAUAGGAAAAUAAGGUCUAAAGGAAUGAAACCCAUGGCACACUUACUAUAAACCUAGCUUAAAUUUUUCUCCCCCAAACAUAUAUAAUGCGGUUGUUACGUAAGCUGCAAAAUUACCGUGCAAGCUCCAGUACCUCAUACGUUUACCCACAGAAUAGAAACACCUGACUUGGACAUACACAAACAGAUGGAAACAGAUAUUACUAGCAGAUUUAGGUCCAUAUAAUUAAUCAACAGACAGAUUCAAAAAGCAGUCAACCAAGCACAGAGCAUCAAAAGCUGGUGACGACACAAUCAGUAGGGUAAAACAAGCAAUGGCUUUUCAACCGAGCACCAAACUAAAGCUGAAGGCACAUAAUGUAGAACCAUUUUCAUUCUAAAAAGACCAUCCCAAGGUGGUUUGCAGUACUCAUUGCACAGAUACUUAGGUCUCAACAGAAUUACAUAUCAAAUCCGCAAAAUUCAACCUAAAAGCACAUAAGAUAGGUAAUCUUUAGCAUAGCAGAUUCCACAGGAGAGCUGGAAUUGAACUGCUUAGUCAAACAAGCUGAAGCCCAUGUCAUCAUCGCUCUCUUCCUUGGCCUCCUCCUUUUUCUCUUCUUUCUUCUCUUCAGCGGCAGCAGCACCACCAGCAGCCGGGGCAGCAGCAGCAGCAGCUGGAGCACCACCUCCACCUGGAAACGAAUCAAAUUCGUUACUACAUUGACAAAAUAAAAGGCAGCAGUACACGUAAAUGCAAAGCAUAGAACCACUCCUGUUGCUGCUCAUGAUAAGUUACAAUCAACCCGAAUAGCAUACUCAUUCUCUACUAUUACACUCCUCGAGAUUGGUCAAACAGGGAUGACAAAAAAUUUACACGUGAAAUUAAAUUCAGAAAACAGAACAUAGGUACAUCUACAAGUCCUGCCUAGGAAGUCAUCCUUCAAUUUAAUAAUAAGUUGUCUAACAUUAAGUGAAGCGAUGGAUUCUCUUAUUGCACAGACUAACCAAGCAGCAGAUCAAAGUACGUUCCAUAAAUUAGAGGCAGUGGCAACAAUAUGAUAUGUCUACUGUGAAGUACACAACGGGCCACGUGAAUCAAAGCCUUGGAUAAACUACAGAGGAAUAUAACACAGUGAGAGCGGGAGAGGUUUACCAGAUCCGACGGAAAGGAUGAGGUCAUCGACGCUCCUCUUCUCCAGGAGCUUGGCGAAGAGCGCGGGCCAGUAGGCCUCAACCUUGAUUCCGGCAGCCUUCACCACCGUCGCGAUCUUCUC